rnacentral:rRNA from 1 species
UCGAGGUUCUUCUAGGCCGGCGACGACGACAAACAGAAGUACCACAUGGUGAGCUGGGCCGACAUCUGUAAUCCCAAAGACCAUGGGGGUCUUGGGAUCCUCUCAUCUAGACGCAUGAACAUUGCCCUCCUGACUCGUUGGCUGUGGCGUAUUGCUAAUGGGGAGGGAGGCCUCUGGCUCACCAUCAUCCGCAAUAAAUACCUGCGUGGCCAACCUCUUGCCUUUUGCCAACUUUCGGGCGGGUCUCAGUUUUGGUAG